CCAGGUCUGGUUGACAGGUGGCGGGAACCCACCCCACAGCACCAACCCUGGACAGGACGCUCCCACAGCAAACACACGCUUGUGGUCUACAUGUUUGAGACACGUCAGAUGUCUGCCUGGGGGAAAAACAAAACUGGCAGAACAGAAGAAUAGCAGUGACAAAUGGAGAGGACAAUGGAGAAGUGACAACUCCUUUGAAGGGAGCCUGUAGUCUUUAGCUGCAUGCAUGCUCCAAUGGUGACUCCAGUGGUUUGUGGACUGCUUUGGUGGCAAGAUGGUACAGACUGGCCUGAGGGAUCUGUUGUGCAGUAUGCUGGUAAAGCAGCUGCAUUCCCAUUCACUCACCACCAAAUGGGC